AUGAGGCUUAUCGCAUGGAAUUGACGGGGGUUGGGGAACGGCCCGACAAUUCAAGGCCUUCUGGAUCUGCAGAAGAGGGAGGACUCCGAUGUGCUAUUCCUGUCUGAGACCAAAAUGGAUCAACGACGAUUGGAAUGGUUGAGAUGGAAAAUGAACAUGACAUGUAUGGUGGCAAAGAAUUCCGAGGGACAGAGCGGAGGACUUGCUUUGUUCUGGAAGAAGGAGGUGGAUGUGAGGGUGGUGGGGUUUAUUUCUAAGUAUCACAUCGAUACGGAGAUCACUGAAGAGGAUGGAUUUAAAUGGAGGUUCACGGGAAUUUAUGGAGAACCGAAGAAGGGGGAGAAGGAGAAGACAUGGAAGCUGAUGAGAACUUUAAAACAUCAAACCAACAAACCAUGGUUGUGUGCGGGAGAUUUCAAUGAAGUUCUUCAUGUGUGGGAGAAAGAGGGAGGCGAGCCAAGGAGUCAGAAUAGUCUAGACCAGUUCAAGAGCCCUUUGGAGUUCUGUGACCUGGGUGACUUGGGGUUUGCCGGGGAUGCCUUUACAUGGCGAAAUCACAGCCACACCACGGAGAAGUAUAUCAGGGAGAGGCUAGACAGAGCCGUCGCAUCGCAGUCAUGA
rnacentral:rRNA from 1 species